rnacentral:lncRNA from 1 species
UCUGUUCUGGGAAGCGAGGCUGCCACUGGGGAAGGCCUUCUUGCUUUGGGGGAAGGAAUGGGGGUCUGAGCAGCUCAUGUGCCUGUGUGAGUAAACUGUGAUCCUUGAAGCCGCCCCUGAGUCGAAUCCUCUAACUCGGCACACUAACGAUUUGCCUAUUACUCUUUGUAUUAGUAUCCUGUGGCUGCCAUAACAGAUCACCCCAAACUCAAUGGUGUAAAACCUCAGAAACUGAUUCUUUAAAGGUAGUCAGAAGUCUAAUAUUAGUUUUCCUGGGCCAAGACCAAUUUGUUUCCAGGGCCUUGGACCCUGUAGAAACUCCAAGGAGAUCUGCUGGUUGUCUGCUCUAGCUGCUGGUGACAGUAGCAAGCUUGGCAUGUGUCCACACUGCUUGGGUCUUUGCCACCUCUGUCUUCACAUCACCUUGUCCACUUUCAUGUCCAGCACAACUCCCUCUGCUGUUCUCUUAUGAGGAUACUUGGGAUGGCAUUUAGGGCCCACCCGGAGGAUCCAGGAUCAUCUCAUUGCAUGAUUCUUCACAUAAUCACAUCUGCAAAGACC